GGGUAAGGGACAAAGACUAAAAACGCCAUGUCCUGUGGCAACGUCUUUGUGACCUACAUCCUGUAGG
rnacentral:sRNA from 1 species